AUCACUCUGUCUAAAUAAGGGUUGCCCAAAGUUGGUCCUCGAGGGCUGCUGUCCUGCAGAUUUUCCAGUGUGUCCUGCUUCAACAUACCUGA